GAUGAACGCCGGCGGCGUGCCUAAUACAUGCAAGUCGAACGCACAGCGAAAGGUGCUUGCACCUUUCAAGUGAGUGGCGAACGGGUGAGUAACACGUGGACAACCUGCCUCAAGGCUGGGGAUAACAUUUGGAAACAGAUGCUAAUACCGAAUAAAACUCAGUGUCGCAUGACACAAAGUUAAAAGGCGCCUUGGCGUCACCUAGAGAUGGAUCCGCGGUG
rnacentral:rRNA from 1 species